GAGCGAUCAUAAGGGAGCUGACUGCAAAUCUGCCGUCAUCGACUUCAAGGUUCGACUCGAGCAAUAGUGAGAGAACGUUGCCGCAGGCAACGGCCCGAAGGGUGAGGAGCUUUAGCUCCGAAUAAUCCUUCCCGCAAUAGAA
rnacentral:sRNA from 1 species